rnacentral:rRNA from 1 species
AGGAGGCAGCAGUGGGGAAUGUUGCACAAUGGGCGAAAGCCUGAUGCAGCAACGCCGCGUGAGUGAUGAAGGCCUUCGGGUUGUAAAGCUCUGUCUUUGGGGACGAUAAUGACGGUACCCAAGAAGGAAGCCACGGCUAACUACGUGCCAGCAGCCGCGGUAAUACGUAGGUGGCGAGCGUUGUCCGGAUUUACUGGGCGUAAAGGAUGCGUAGGCGGAUAUUUAAGUGAGAUGUGAAAUACCCGGGCUUAACUUGGGUGCUGCAUUUCAAACUGGAUAUCUAGAGUGCGGGAGAGGAGAAUGGAAUUCCUAGUGUAGCGGUGAAAUGUGUAGAGAUUAGGAAGAACACCAGUGGCGAAGGCGAUUCUCUGGACCGUAACUGACGCUGAGGCAUGAAAGCGUGGGUAGCAAACAGGAUUAGAUACCCCGGUAGUCCC